rnacentral:lncRNA from 1 species
GCCGUUAGUUCGCCGUGUGUUUCGUGCGAUCUACCAGUGUCGACAGUGAGUGUCUUACUACAGCGCCCGUCCGAGCUGCCUUUGUUCUGCCGAGCUGCCUGCCCGCGCUCUCGUGAAAAGUCUGGUACUGGAGCUUCGAAUCGUAGUGUAUGGAAGACUGUUGAAGGUUGUGCUUUUGUGGAGCUGGAGUUCAUCGGAAGUUCUACAGUGCUUGCGCCAGAAAAACGUCGGUGCCUCGGUACCUUUGAGACGAAGGAGCGUUGGCCAAGUCUUUUUGAAAGGCUAUGCGGAUUCUGGAGGCAUCCCUACAUCAAGCAGGAACCUGCUGCACUGCUGGAAGCUGGACAGCACGACAAUAAAGCACGUGAUCUGUGUGCUUUCUCAAAGGUAGACAUCGGCGACGGUGUAUAUGUUGAAAAGUGCCUGCUGAAGAGGCUGCGCCUGGAUGCUAACAACUCAGGCUUUCAGUUCGC